rnacentral:lncRNA from 1 species
CGAUUUUUCAAAAAAGACGAGUUUUUACUCCCUUCCUUAUUAUAAAAAAAAGAAUUCACUAAACUUAUCGAAUUAACUUCUCAUCGAUAUAUUGUUUCAUCGAGAUCCAAUCCAAAUCACGAUGUCGUUUUCUUGUUCCUGAACGGGCCCCUUUAAUCUUUUUAGGUUUAUGCUCUACUCCGGGUAAAGAAAGAUACGCCCGAUUUCGAUUUGUACAUAUAGGACAAAU